rnacentral:rRNA from 1 species
GGACUACCGGGGUUUCUAAUCCCAUUUGCUCCCCUGGCUUUCGUUCCUCAGCGUCAGUUACGGCCCAGUAAGUCGCCUACGCCACCGGUGUUCUUCCUGAUAUCUACGCAUUUCACCGCUACACCAGGAAUUCCACUUACCUCUACCGCACUCCAGUCUGCCAGUAUCCAAUGCACUCCCAGGGUUGGGCCCUGAUCUUUAACAUCAGACUUAACAGACCGCCUACGAACUCUUUACGCCCAAUAAAUCCGGACAACGCUUGCAUCCUACGUCUUACCGCGGCUGCUGGCAC